rnacentral:rRNA from 1 species
AACGAACGUUGGCGGCGUGGAUUAGGCAUGCAAGUCGAACGAAUCCCGUGUAGCAAUAUGCGGGGGAAGUGGCGAAAGGGGCAGUAAGGCGUGGGUAACCUACCCCGGGGACGGGCAUAGCCGUCCUAACGGACGGGUAAUUCCUGGCGAUGUGGCUUGAGGGCAUCCUUGGGCCAUGAAAUGAAUCUCGCCUCGGGAGGGGCUCACGUGGUAUCAGCUAGUUGGCGGGGUAACGGCCCACCAAGGCAACGACGUCUAGCCGGUGUGAGAGCACGACCGGCGCCACUGGCACUGAGACACUGGCCAGACUCCUACGGGAGGCUGCAGUCGAGGAUCUUCGGCAAUGGGCGCAAGCCUGACCGAGCGACGCCGCGUGUGCGAUGAAGGCCUUCGGGUUGUAAAGCACUGUCGAGGGGGAGAAAAGCCCGCAAGGGUCUGAUCUAUCCCUGGAGGAAGCACGGGCUAAGUUCGUGCCAGCAGCCGCCGUA